UACGUAGGGGGCGAGCGUUGUCCGGAUUUAUUGGGCGUAAAGAGCUCGUAGGCGGUUGGGUAAGUCGGGUGUGAAAACUCAGGGCUCAACUCUGAGACGCCACUCGAUACUGCUCUGACUCGAGUCCGGUAGGGGAGUGUGGAAUUCCCGGUGUAGCGGUGAAAUGCGCAGAUAUCGGGAGGAACACCAGUGGCGAAGGCGGCGCUCUGGGCCGGAACUGACGCUGAGGAGCGAAAGCGUGGGUAGCAAACAGG
rnacentral:rRNA from 1 species